AGUCGUAUGUCAAAUAAUUUGUUAUUACGCUAAUAUAUAUAUUAUAUGUUAAAUUACUCGUUCAUUGCUAUAUAAAUGAAAAUAAAUAUUUUAUAUAAACUAGUAAAUAAUGAGUUAUCAAUUUAAAUAAUGACUUAUCAAUUUAAAUGAAAUGUUACCAGAUGCAUCGCUAAAUCUAACACCACUACCAAACAACACCUCUC
rnacentral:lncRNA from 1 species